AUGUGAACCAUGCAGUUCUUUCUGUCGGCUAUGGAGUUGAAGAUGGUAUUCCCUACUGGCUUAUCAAGAACUCAUGGGGUGGAGACUGGGGCGAUCAUGGCUACUUCAAGAUGGAGCUUGGCAAGAACUUGUGUGGCGUCGCAACUUGUGCAUCUUACCCCAUUGUUGCUGUGUAGAAUCUUCCAUAAAUUAAAAUGAUGAGCUUAAAAGUUGUUAUCUUUA